GCCUUUUUAGCUCAGUGGUAGAGUUUUUGCAUGGUAAGCAAAAAGUUACCGGUUCAAUUCCGGUAAAAGGCU
rnacentral:tRNA from 1 species